CCUACGGGAGGCAGCAGUGAGGAAUCUUCCACAAUGGGCGAAAGCCUGAUGGAGCAACGCCGCGUGCAGGAUGAAGGCCUUCGGGUUGUAAACUGCUUUUAUAAGUGAAGAAUAUGACGGUAACUUAUGAAUAAGCACCGGCUAACUACGUGCCAGCAGCCGCGGUAAU
rnacentral:rRNA from 1 species